UGUUGGGGCUCUCUGGCCUUGGUAGCGCAGCUAACGCGUGAAGUUGACCGCCUGGGGAGUACGGUCGCAAGAUUAAAACUCAAAGGAAUUGACGGGGACCGCACAAGCGGAUGAUGUGGAUUAAUUCGAUGCAACGCGAAAAACCUUACCUACCCUUGACAUGUCUGGAAUCCCGAAGAGAUUUGGGAGUGCUCGCAAGAGAACCGGAACACAGGUGCUGCAUGGCUGUCGUCAGCUCGUGUCGAGAUGUUGGGUUAAGUCCCGCAACGAGCGCAACCCUUGUCAUUAGUUGCUACGAAAGGGCGCUCUAAUGAGACUGCCGGUGACAAAACCGGAGGAAGGUGGGGAUGACGUCAAGUCUCAUGGCUCCUUAUGGGUAGGGCUUCACACGUCAUACAAUGGUCGCAGAGGGUCGCCAACCCGCGAGGGGAGCCAAUCCCAGAAACCCGAUCGUAGUCCGGAUCGCAGUCUGCAACUCGACUGCGUGAAGUCGGAAUCGCUAGUAAUCGCGGAUCAGCAUGUCGCGGUGAAUACGUUCCCGGGUCUUGUACACACCGCCCGUCACACCAUGGGAGUGGGUUUUACCAGAAGUAGUUAGCCUAACCGUAAGGAGGGCGAUUACCACGGUAGGAUCUAUGACUGGGGUGAAGUCGUAACAAGGUAA
rnacentral:misc_RNA from 1 species